UUCAUGAACCUUUGUUCAGGCACUGUUUAGGAAAAUUGCUGCAGCUUUACCAGGAAUGGAAACACUGUCAUCAACAAAGCAAGAAGACAUGGUUGAUGUGAAUCUGAAGUCUACGGGCGGCAGUGCAUCACAGUCGCAAGCUCAGUCUGGAUGCUCUUGUUAAUGCAGCCUUUGCCAUGAAUGUUUUGCGUGCUCAUGCUUUGUACUUUGCUCUUUGAUUUUGCAGCCUGAUCUGUAAAGGUUUCAUUUAUUAUUUCGCAUUUAUUUGGAAGUAUUUGUCAUAGGUAUAAAUAUUACUGGUUUGCUUGACAAAAAUCAUAAAACCCUCAUAGGUACACAUGUAGCUGGAAGAGACUUUAGGGGUGUAAAAAGAACGUGAUUGGGGAUUUUGUUGUUUCAGUUACAUAAUAAUUUUGCUACCUGCAUUUCAUUUAUG
rnacentral:lncRNA from 1 species